UGGUGGCGAUAGCGAGAAGGAUACACCUGUUCCCAUGCCGAACACAGAAGUUAAGCUUCUUAGCGCCGAUUGUAGUGAAGGGUUUCCCUUUGU
rnacentral:rRNA from 1 species